rnacentral:tRNA from 7 species
GCCGGGGUGGCGGAACUGGUAGACGCACUAGCCUUAGGAGCUAGCGGUCGAAAGACCAUGGAGGUUCGAGUCCUCUCCCCGGUACCA